UGGGGAAUCUUGCACAAUGGAGGAAACUCUGAUGCAGCGACGCCGCGUGAGCGAAGAAGCCUUUCGGGGUGUAAAGCUCUUACGCCAGGGACGAUAAUGACGGUACCUGGAGAAGCAGCUGCGGCUAACUACGUGCCAGCAGCCGCGGUAAUACGUAGGCAGCAAGCGUUGUUCGGAAUUACUGGGCGUAAAGGGUGCGUAGGCGGCGCUCUAAGUUUGGUGUGAAAUCUCCCGGCUUAACUGGGAGGGUGCACUGAAAACUGGGGCGCUCGAGUAUGGGAGAGGAAAGCGGAAUUCCUGGUGUAGCGGUGAAAUGCGUAGAGAUCAGGAGGAACACCUGCGGUGCAGACGGCUUUCUGGACCAUCACUGACGCUGAGGCGCGAAAGCGUGGGUAGCAAACA
rnacentral:rRNA from 1 species